AGACCCGAAACCCGGUGAUCUAGCCAUGGGCAGGUUGAAGGUUGGGUAACACUAACUGGAGGACCGAACCGACUAAUGUUGAAAAAUUAGCGGAUGACCUGUGGCUGGGGGUGAAAGGCCAAUCAAACCGGGAGAUAGCUGGUUCUCCCCGAAAGCUAUUUAGGUAGCGCCUCGUGAAUUCAUCUCCGGGGGUAGAGCACUGUUUCGGCUAGGGGGCCAUCCCGGCUUACCAACCCGAUGCAAACUGCGAAUACCGGAGAAUGUUAUCACGGGAGACACACGGCGGGUGCUAACGUCCGUCGUGAAGAGGGAAACAACCCAGACCGCCAGCUAAGGUCCCAAAGUCAUGGUUAAGUGGGAAACGAUGUGGGAAGGCCCAGACAGCCAGGAUGUUGGCUUAGAAGCAGCCAUCAUUUAAAGAAAGCGUAAUAGCUCACUGGUCGAGUCGGCCUGCGCGGAAGAUGUAACGGGGCUAAACCAUGCACCGAAGCUGCGGCAGCGACGCUGAUGCGUUGUUGGGUAGGGGAGCGUUCUGUAAGCCUGUGAAGGUGUGUCGUGAGGCAUGCUGGAGGUAUCAGAAGUGCGAAUGCUGACAUAAGUAACGAUAAAGCGGGUGAAAAGCCCGCUCGCCGGAAGACCAAGGGUUCCUGUCCAACGUUAAUCGGGGCAGGGUGAGUCGACCCCUAAGGCGAGGCCGAAAGGCGUAGUCGAUGGGAAACGGGUUAAUAUUCCCGUACUUGGUGUUACUGCGAAGGGGGGACGGAGAAGGCUAUGUUGGCCGGGCGACGGUUGUCCCGGUUUAAGCGUGUAGGUGUGUGUUCCAGGUAAAUCCGGUUCACUUUAACACUGAGGCGUGACGACGAGGCACUACGGUGCUGAAGCAACAAAUGCCCUGCUUCCAGGAAAAGCCUCUAAGCAUCAGGUAACAUCAAAUCGUACCCCAAACCGACACAGGUGGUCAGGUAGAGAAUACCAAGGCGCUUGAGAGAACUCGGGUGAAGGAACUAGGCAAAAUGGUGCCGUAACUUCGGGAGAAGGCACGCUGACAUGUAGGUGAAGUGAUUUACUCA
rnacentral:rRNA from 1 species